rnacentral:rRNA from 1 species
UACGGGGGAUGCAAGCGUUAUCCGGAUUUAUUGGGUUUAAAGGGUGCGUAGGCGGAUUGAUAAGUUAGAGGUGAAAUGUCCGAGCUUAACUCGGGAACUGCCUCUAAUACUGUUGAUCUAGAGAGUAGAUGCGGUAGGCGGAAUGUAUGGUGUAGCGGUGAAAUGCUUAGAGAUCAUACAGAACACCGAUUGCGAAGGCAGCUUACCAAUCUGUAUCUGACGUUGAGGCACGAAAGCGUGGGGAGCAAACAGG